rnacentral:rRNA from 1 species
GAUGAACGCUAGCGGCAGGCUUAACACAUGCAAGUCGAACGGAGCUGCUUUGAUGAAGUUUUCGGAUGGAUUUAAAACAGCUUAGUGGCGCACGGGUGAGUAACACGUGUGCAACCAACCCCGUACCGGGAGAUAACCCGCGGAAACGUGGACUAACAUCCCAUAACACUCUAGAGCCGCACUGGUUCUGGAUUUAAAACCCCGGUGGUACGGGACGGGCACGCGCGACAUUAGGUAGUUGGCGGGGUAACGGCCCACCAAGCCGACGAUGUCUAGGGGUUCUGAGAGGAAGGUCCCCCACACUGGAACUGAGACACGGUCCAGACUCCUACGGGAGGCAGCAGUGAGGAAU